rnacentral:snoRNA from 1 species
UGGCGAUGAGGAAAGAAAUCUGUGUGCCGGAGGCGUCCGGUGACGCCGGUGUCGGUUCCACAAAUCCUCUAAGAAGUUCUGAGCCA